ensembl:lncRNA
CCGCGGGACUGGUCUCCCGGCUCCAGCCGCCGUGGCAGUGCCGGCUCCCUCCAGGUGUGCCUGGAGCACGUAAGCGCCGGAAGGGAUGCUGCAGACAGUAGGGCUUGCCGCUCCGCGAGGCGCAGAUGUGCCUGGCUCUUACCCCGUUUCCUCCGUGACUCUAGGUUGAGCCCGGGCUCUGGUGGUUUCCUUCUAUUACAGUAGCAAAAUGGUACAACAGCUUGUAGUCCGUGAUUUCUGUCGGAGAGUGUAUGUCACCUGUUGCUGCAUAACAAGCACCUCAUAGCAUCACAGCUUAAAACAAACAUUGAUUGUGGGGCCAGCCCCGUGGCCAAGUGGUUAAGUUCGCGCACUCCGCUUUGGUGGCCCAGGGUUCGGAUCCUGGGCACGGACGUGGCACCACUCACUAGGCCCUGUUGAGGCGGCGUCCCACAUGCCACAACUAGAAGGACCCACAACUAAAAUAUACAACUAUGUACUGGGGGGAUUUGGGGAGAAAAAAGCAGAGAGUAAAAAAAAGAUCGGCAACAGUUGUUAACUCAGGUGCCAAUCUUUAAAAGAAAAAACAUUGAUUGUUCCACAGGUUCUACAGGUCAGGAAUUUGGGCAUGACUUGACUGAGUGGUUCUGUCUUGGUCUCUCACGAGACAAUAGUCAAGACCUAGGCCAAGGCUGCCGUUAUCUGAAGUCUUGACUCAGGCUGGAGCAUCUGCUUCCUAGAUGGCACGCUCACGUGACUGUUGGCUGAAGGCCUCAGUUUUUCACUGCAUGACCUCCCCGUAGGAUCCCUCGAGUGUCCCCAUAAUAUGGCAUCUGGCUUCCCUCAGAGCGAGUAAUCUCAGAGAGACCAAGGCAGAAGCCACAAUGUCUUCUAUAAUCUAGCCUCAGAAGUCACAUACCAUCACUUCUGUCAUAUUCUAUUGAUCAAAAAUCAACCCAAGUGCACCAAUACCAAUAGACAGAGAUCAUUGGAGGCCAUCUGGGAGGCUGGCUACCAUGGAGGGUCUGACAAUAAUGAUGGUGAUGACUUAGAUGCGGAAGAGAGCAUCAUCAAGUUUCAUCCUUGGAUGCUAGCCAUUGUCCAAAUCGUUAUAAAAAGAGUGUAACCACUGGGAUGGCAGAAGUAGUCCAACCACAGGAGUGCAGGAGGGUCCUGGAAGAGAACCAGAGCAUUCUCAAGGACUGCCAAGAAUUAAAGUGAGGAUCUGCCAAAACUUCAAAGGAUCCCAUCCAGGACACCACGUUACACUCACGUCUCCUUAGACUGCUCUUGGUUGUGACAGUUCCUUAGACUUUCCUUGCUUCUUUAUGACCUAGACAGUUUGAGGAUUACUGGUCAGGUAUUUUGUAGAAUGUCCCUCCAUUGGGAUUUUCUCGUGAUUAGACGGAAGUGAUGUGCUCACGGGAGGAGGUCCACUGAGGUAAAGCCCCGUUCCCAUCACAUCACAUCCUAUCAGCAGUACCUACUAUCAAUAUGACUUCUCGCUGUUGGUGUGAACCUGAUCACUCGGCUUCUCCACCAUGAAAUUCUUCUCUUUUUUUCUCCUUUUCACACUACGUACACUUUGGAAGAAAGUCACUAUGUGUAACCCAGACUUAAGGAGUGGAAGUUACACUGCACCUCUUAAAGGUGGAGUAUUUACAUAAAUUCUUUUAAUAUUUUCUGUUCAGGAGAUUUGUCUAUUUUCUAUUUAUUCAAUCAUUUGUAUCAGUAUGGAUAUAUCUAUUUUAUACUUUGGCUUAUAAUCCAAUACUACUUCAUUUUGUUUAAUUUGCUCCUGUUCUUCCAGCUGUGGCCGUUGGGAGAUCUUUCAGUCGUCUCCUGUAUCCAUUUGACAUC